UUUACAUGAUGACUCAUAACAGUUCUGCUUCUGAAUUAAUUUUGAAGAAAGCUAUACCCACAACCCUGACCU